rnacentral:sRNA from 1 species
AAUUAAGUUUGAGGAAGCGCUGUUCUAAGCGUGAAUGGUUUCAUAUGCCCUCUAGUGGCUGUCCAGCAACUUGCAGGGAGCUUUAAAAUGUUUUCUCAUUUUAGGACCUUUGCACAGAACUGCCGAAACAUUGAACAUUUGAACCUCAAUGGAUGCACAAAAAUCACUGACAGCACGUGUUAUAGCCUUAGCAGAUUCUGUUCCAAGCUGAAACAUCUGGAUCUGACCUCCUGUGUGUCUAUUACAAACAGCUCCUUGAAGGGGAUCAGUGAGGGCUGCCGAAACCUGGAGUACCUGAACCUCUCUUGGUGUGAUCAGAUCACGAAGGAUGGCAUCGAGGCACUGGUGCGAGGUUGUCGAGGCCUGAAAGCCCUGCUCCUGAGGGGCUGCACACAGUUAGAAGAUGAAGCUCUGAAACACAUUCAGAAUUACUGCCAUGAGCUUGUGAGCCUCAACUUGCAGUCCUGCUCACGUAUCACGGAUGAAGGUGUGGUGCAGAUAUGCAGGGGCUGUCACCGGCUACAGGCUCUCUGCCUUUCGGGUUGCAGCA